GUCGAACGCUGGCGGCGUGCCUAAUACAUGCAAGUCGAGCGGAGCGGGGGCGAGUGAGUAACACGUGGCUAACCUCCUAUAGGACUAGGGUAACUUCGGGGAACCGGAGCUAAACCGGAUACUUAUACGUGGUUACGCGCUGCAUUAGCUAGUUGGUAAGGUAACGGCUUACCAAGGCAACGAUGCAUAGCCGACCUGAGAGGGUGAUCGGCCACACUGGAACUGAGACACGGUCCAGACUCCUACGGGAGGCAGCAGUGGGGAAUCUUCGGCAAUGGGCGAAAGCCUGACGGAGCAACGCCGCGUGAGUGAUGAAGGUCUUCGGAUCGUAAAACUCUGUAAUUAGGGAAGCGUUACCUAAACAGAAAGCCCCGGCUAACUACGUGCCAGCAGCCGCGGUAAUUC
rnacentral:rRNA from 1 species